GGAUUAGAUACCCUGGUAGUCCACGCCCUAAACGAUGUCAACUAGUUGUUGGGUGGGUAAAACCAUUUAGUAACGGAGCUAACGCGUGAAGUUGACCGCCUGGGGAGUACGGCCGCAAGGUUAAAACUCAAAGGAAUUGACGGGGACCCGCACAAGCGGUGGAUGAUGUGGAUUAAUUCGAUGCAACGCGAAAAACCUUACCUACCCUUGACAUGUCAGGAACUUUCCAGAGAUGGAUUGGUGCCCGAAAGGGAGCCUGAACACAGGUGCUGCAUGGCUGUCGUCAGCUCGUGCCG
rnacentral:rRNA from 1 species